AACGCACAUUGCGCCCCUUGGUAUUCCGGGGGGCAUGCCUGUUCGAGCGUCAUUAUAACCCUCAAGCCUAGCUUGGUGUUGGAGCAUGCUAUCUAGCAGCUCUUAAAAUCAGUGGCAGUGCCCUUCGGCUCUAAGCGUAGUAACUUCUCUCGCUAUGGAAACCGGAUGGUACGCGCCAAAACCCCCAACUUUCUAUGGUUGACCUCGGAUCAGGUAGGGAUACCCGCUGAACUUAA
rnacentral:misc_RNA from 1 species